UUGUUCACCUUUCUUCCUCAAAAAAUAAAAAAAGCAAAACCAAAAAAAACUUUCUCACUAUUUUUGACAUUUUACAGUUCCUCUAACAAAUGCAGUGAUGAAAGCACCUCGGUGGUUGGAGCCUCUCGCUGCAAAUGGGAGCACAUGGUACAUUUUCUCAGGGACAACAGCUGGCCUGGAGAUGGAGGGGUGAAAGGGAUUGUUGAGCAUAGACACUUCCAAAUCAUAGUUCAUAACUAUUUCAACAAGAUCAUCAUUCUAGCUUAGCCAGAUGAGAUGGUUUUAUUUAUCAUAAAAUAAGCAAGCUAACAAACUUGGUGGAUUUUUAUUUUUUUUUAAUUUAUUUUGGUGGCUCAGUACAUCAGUAGGUCUUUUUCUAUUUCAUCGGACCCUCAGUGGCCAGGCUCCUCUGCCUGUGGCUGUGCUUGGCUGGAGUUCCUAGGAGACAGCCCUAAGGAAAAAAUCAUCCUGUAUUUUCCCAAGUCACAUAGAACUUGAAAGCAGCAAAGCUUCUGUCUCCCAUAUGUGUAACAGAAGCAUUUAUGCUUAUGUCCACUUUUUGUCUGUAUUGAGUAAGAAGAUGUGAUUUGGUCUGCAGCUUGCCAAAGCCAUUAGCUGCUUGUGUAAUUCUGGGAGGUUGUCAAAGCAGUUUUGGUCUUUACUGAGGAUUCUUUAAGACAACUGCUCUGUUUGAAGUUCUUCGCUGGUUUGAAGUGCUACAACAGACUGGUGGAUUUGCGGACAGAUUUCGGGCAAGAUAUAAAUUGGCUUGUCUGCAGGAAUGCAGUAGUACUUUUGGCUGUGCCUGGAAAACAUAAACAAGCAUUUCUUCUACUAAGGAUUGUAUUUAGCAGCAGACAUUUGAUUUGCUGCAGAAUGACUGAACAGAAACUACAACAGCUACAAAAAGUUCUUUUUCAAUGUAGUCACCACCACUAGAUGUGCGUUUUCACCAGCGAUAAUUCAGCAGGAGCCUUAAUGCAGUGCUCAUAGAAGUCUGCAUCAAUUGAGGUGACCCUCUGUUUCACAGCUGCUGUGAUGGUGUGGUUGCGAAGAAAAUGUUGUCUAUGCAGUCCAUCUUUCAUCAGCCCAAACAGAUGGAAGUCAGAAGAUGCUAAAUCAGGUCUAUAUGCUGGAUGUGGUUGGGCAGUCAGCAAAGAUUGGCAGUGUGCUCCAUGGUCUUCAAACAGGUAUGGUCUUUGCAGUUAUUGUGUUGCAAGAGAGAAGUUGUCUUCUUCUCUGGCCUAACAAUGGAAGUUUGAGCAUUCAGCUUAGUCAGCAUCAUCAUGCAGUUGUCAGAGUUAAGGGCUAUUCUGGGUUUCAGGAAAUCUGGAAGGGUCUUACCUAUCCCAAAAUACUUGAACUUUUCCUUCAAUGGGGAUUUUACGUUUUGCUACUCUGUGGACUGCUGUUCUGGCUCCAGCUCAUAGUGAUGACACCAUGUCUCAUUAUCAAUAAUGAUGUGAUUCAGGAAACUGUCACCUUUAACGUCCUUCUGUUUUUUCUGUUCCUGUGUGAACAUUCAUGGGACCCAUAUGGUGCAAACUUUGUGAUAUUCCAACAUUGCUACCAUGAUUUUAAUGCAUUGAAGCCAAUAUUCAGUUCUGUACACAGUUCUCUGGUCAUAAUCUGCUGAUUCAUGUGGAUGAGCUGACUGAGACACUCUUUGUUUUGUGGUGCGACAGUUGUGCAUGGCCACCCAGAACACAGCACGUAGUUCAUGUUGCUACCACCUUUGCUGAAAUGCACCCCUCAUCUCCUCACUGUUCUCACAUCCACUGUUAGGUCUCCAUAAACAUUCAGCAAAUGACAACAAAUGUCAAUGUGUGCAGUUUUUUUUCUCAUGGAGGAAUUUGGUGACUCCUUCAUCUGCACUUCCAUCUCAGGCACCAUUUUGUUAGACUACCCCUCUGCUGUCAUCUGUAAUGCAGCAACAUGUAAUGGAAUAUUGGUGGGAAAGCUCAGCCUCUACUGCCACCAACUUCUGCUUCUCAUAUUGUGGCCAAACACAAUAAAAUAGGAGGCAAUACCUUUGGAGCAGUCCCCAUAUACUGAAAAUGUUCCAGUGAAUUGAAGUACAGUUGUACGAUGUAAUGCCAUAGUUAUUAAAAAAAUGAAAAAUAUAAAAAAAAUCCCCCUGAAAUUAGACAAAACCUAUGUGGGUACAUAGGAUGGCCUCUGUAGGAAUCUAGCAUUGCCAUCAAACUCCUCAGCCUUCCUGUACUUAGAAGAUGGGUGGAGUUGGGAAGAUGCACAGAGGCAGUCUUCCUAAACAGCUUACUUCCUCCCAGUCAUGCAGAUCUGGUGUGCGACUGGUCUGCUGGCAAUGGAAUUGAAAAUAGGAGAGAUAAGAUGCGAGUUGCUGGUUUUACAAAUGAAGAAUGAAAUUGGAUGCAUUUUGCCACUUUGCAAUCAGCCAUUAUGUAUAUGUUUAGCUUGAAAAACUAAUCUGGUAGUUUUCAGAUCCAAUCAUAUUAAUGAAGUAGUAGAAUUACUUGUGUGAUGCUGUACUACAGUCAAUUUAGUAAAUAGAUAUGAAGGAAAAUAAAAU